CCCCUAGAUGUUCUGGGCCGCACGCGCGCUACACUGAACAGUUCAACAAGUCUUAACCUUGGCCGAUAGGUCUGGGUAAUCUUUGAACGCUGUUCGUGAUUGGGAUAGACCUUUGCAAUUAUGGGUCUUCAACGAGGAAUUCCUAGUAAACGCAAGUCAUCAGCUUGCAUUGAUUACGUCCCUGCCCUUUGUACACACCGCCCGUCGCACCUACCGAUUGAAUGGUCCGGUGAAAUCUCGGGACGGCGGCUUGGUCGCUUGCGUCCGACUGAUGAAACUUGAUUAAACCAUAUCAUUUAGAGGAAGGUGAAGUCGUAACA
rnacentral:rRNA from 1 species